AUCAUUUUUUAUUUCUAUUUUGUUUCUUUUAAUGAUAUUUUGUAUUAUUUUAUUUCCAUUUCCAGGGAAAUGAUUUGAAUCAGCAUUCGUGGAAAGGAUUCAGUGCGAAAUUCCAUGAGUAUUCCAGUGAGAGUUACGACUUAAGUUUAAAGACCUUGGACCUUUCAAAUAAACAUGGGAUUGUGUUCGAUUUCCAAGAAGUUGCUUUAUCAAACUACCUCCAGAAUGUACUGGAAACUGAGGUAAGUGGAAUCAUACUCUUUACUCUUUACUUAUUUCAGUCAUUUGACUGUGGCCACGCUGAAGCACUGCCUUUAGUUGAGCAAAUUGACCCCAGGAUUUAUUAUGACAAGUGACUGAGACCUUUGUCAAUAUGCUUGAGAAGACCCGUCAAGCCAAGUGAGAUCAUAGUCAUGGCUGAUGCUGGUAUCAUUCACUGGCCUGUUAAAAGCACCCUUCAAUUGCUGGGCGAUGCGCUGUGCUUGUGAGGACUUGUCAAACCAAGUGAAAUCAUAGACGUGGUUGAUGCCUGUGCUGUCUGAUUGGCACCCAUUCCGGUGGUAUGUAAAAAGCACCCUUCAUGCACUGUGCCUCAUAGAAGCAGUGACGUCAAGCCAAGUGGAAGUAGGAAGUAGGACAUUAAAUGAUGAUAACACAAUGAUAUAUACAUAUAUAUAUUUCUUUCUCAGACUGGAGCGAACACGACACAAUGAAGUAGAGAAAUUUGAAAAGACAACACGAAACCAGUUAUUUCUCAAAAUGCAAUGUUUAUAUACCAAAAAGAUUUUCUAACAUUUUUCUAACAUUUUUCUGACAUAAUUUAAAUAUAUACUUUAACCAUGUAACACAA